UACGUAGGGUGCGAGCGUUGUCCGGAAUUAUUGGGCGUAAAGAGCUCGUAGGCGGUUUGUCGCGUCUGCUGUGAAAUCUCAAGGCUCAACCUUGAGCUUGCAGUGGGUACGGGCAGACUAGAGUGUGGUAGGGGAGACUGGAAUUCCUGGUGUAGCGGUGAAAUGCGCAGAUAUCAGGAGGAACACCUGCGGUGUAGACGGCUUUUCUGGACCUU
rnacentral:rRNA from 1 species